AAACCUCAACCUCCCUGGUUUCUUCUGGAGACCAAAGGAGGCUUGGACUUUGGAGGCCUUUGCCGGCGUCUCUGCCAGCUCCUCUCAAAUGAAUUAGUGGGGUCCUCUUUGCCGAUCCUUGACAUGUGAUAAGAUGCUUCCGUGUCUCGGUUUCUGGCUCUGUUGCCUUUGGGACCCGCUUCUAACCGUCUAGACCUCGCGUCGAGACAACGUUCGAGCACGUCUCCCUUGUCGGGAAACGUUCUCGACCCCACGAAC
rnacentral:misc_RNA from 1 species